rnacentral:rRNA from 1 species
AACGAACGCUGGCGGCGUGCCUAACACAUGCAAGUCGUGCGAGAAAGUUCCUUCGGGAGCGAGUAAAGCGGCGCACGGGUGAGUAACACGUAGGUAACCUGCCCCCCAGUCUGGAACAACUAGAGGAAACUCUAGCUAAUGCCGGAUGAGACCACGAUCCCUUCGGGGGUUGCGGCCAAAGAUGGCCUCUACUUGUAAGCUAUCGCUGAGGGAUGGGCCUGCGGGCCAUUAGCUUGUGGUGAGGUAACGGCUCACCAAGGCUGUGAUGGCUAGCUGGUCUGAGAGGAUGACCAGCCACACUGGGACUGAGACACGGCCCAGACUCCUACGGAGGCAGCAGUGGGAAUAUUGCGCAAUGGGCGAAAGCCUGACGCAGCGACGCCGCGUGGGUGAUGAAGGCC